UGUGGGAGGGGGCUUGCCCCCGAUAGCAGUGUGUCAGGCACUGAUGUGUCACUGAUACACCGCUAUCGGGGGCAAGCCCCCUCCCACA
rnacentral:antisense_RNA from 1 species